rnacentral:tRNA from 1 species
GGGGAUUUAGCUCAGUGGUAGAGCGCUUGCCUAGCACGCACAAGGCCCUGGGUUCGGUCCCCAGUUCCG